ACACACACAUAUAUAUAGUUGUUUAAUUAUUAUAUCUCUAUAUUUUACAAAUGUACAUUUGAGCUAUAAUACUGUUAAAAAUACCAAAAUCUUGAUACUUUCUAUUGUUUUCAAUGAUGGGAUAUCCAAAUUGAUCAAUGAUACUAAACAUGAUUUAAUUACAGUAUUUGAAUUUUUUAAAAAUCAAAUUUUAUAAUCUUUUGACAUUAUUUAUCUGGUAAUCAAAUGGUCUUUGAUAUACCUUACAUUUGUUGCUGAAAAUU
rnacentral:lncRNA from 1 species